UUCUUCCACUAAAAAGAAUGGUGCUAAAACUGUAAUUCAGGUCUUGUCCUGUUUUAUGCAGUAAUGCCAGUACUGUUUGUCAGUGGAAGGAGAACACUUUGCUCUGCACCUGAAAUGGAACUUGGCCGGACCUCUUUCUUAAUGUCCAGUGGCCAUUGUUUCAAGGUCCAGCGCCACAUCG